CGACAGGCUUAACACAUGCAAGUCGAGGGGCAGCACAGGUAGCAAUACCGGGUGGCGACCGGCGCACGGGUGAGUAACGCGUAUGCAACUUACCUAUCAGAGGGGGAUAACCCGGCGAAAGUCGGACUAAUACCGCAUGAAGCAGGGGCCCCGCAUGGGGAUAUUUGCUAAAGAUUCAUCGCUGAUAGAUAGGCAUGCGUUCCAUUAGGCAGUUGGCGGGGUAACGGCCCACCAAACCGACGAUGGAUAGGGGUUCUGAGAGGAAGGUCCCCCACAUUGGUACUGAGACACGGACCAAACUCCUACGGGAGGCAGCAGUGAGGAAUAUUGGUCAAUGGCCGAGAGGCUGAACCAGCCAAGUCGCGUGAGGGAUGAAGGUUCUAUGGAUCGUAAACCUCUUUUAUAAGGGAAUAAAGUGCGGGACGUGUCCCGUUUUGUAUGUACCUUAUGAAUAAGGAUCGGCUAACUCCGUGCCAGCAGCCGCGGUAAUACGGAGGAUUCGAGCGUUAUCCGGAUUUAUUGGGUUUAAAGGGUGCGUAGGCGGCCUUUUAAGUCAGCGGUGAAAGUCUGUGGCUCAACCAUAGAAUUGCCGUUGAAACUGGGGGGCUUGAGUAUGUUUGAGGCAGGCGGAAUGCGUGGUGUAGCGGUGAAAUGCAUAGAUAUCACGCAGAACCCCGAUUGCGAAGGCAGCCUGCCAAGCCAUGACUGACGCUGAUGCACGAAAGCGUGGGGAUCAAACAGGAUUAGAUACCCUGGUAGUCCACGCAGUAAACGAUGAUCACUAGCUGUUUGCGAUACACAGUAAGCGGCACAGCGAAAGCGUUAAGUGAUCCACCUGGGGAGUACGCCGGCAACGGUGAAACUCAAAGGAAUUGACGGGGGCCCGCACAAGCGGAGGAACAUGUGGUUUAAUUCGAUGAUACGCGAGGAACCUUACCCGGGUUUGAACGCAUUCGGACCGAGGUGGAAACACCUUUUCUAGCAAUAGCCGUUUGCGAGGUGCUGCAUGGUUGUCGUCAGCUCGUGCCGUGAGGUGUCGGCUUAAGUGGCAUAACGAGCGCAACCCUUGCCACUAGUUACUAACAGGUGAUGCUGAGGACUCUGGUGGGACUGCCAGCGUAAGCUGCGAGGAAGGCGGGGAUGACGUCAAAUCAGCACGGCCCUUACAUCCGGGGCGACACACGUGUUACAAUGGCGUGGACAAAGGGAGGCCACCUGGCGACAGGGAGCGAAUCCCCAAACCACGUCUCAGUUCGGAUCGGAGUCUGCAACCCGACUCCGUGAAGCUGGAUUCGCUAGUAAUCGCGCAUCAGCCAUGGCGCGGUGAAUACGUUCCCGGGCCUUGUACACACCGCCCGUCAAGCCAUGGGAGUCGGGGGUACCUGAAGUCCGUAACCGCGAGGAUCGGCCUAGGGUAAAACUGGUGACUGGGGC
rnacentral:rRNA from 1 species